GGGGAUGCAACGGAUUCGACGGGGAUGAGGAAGCCCCGGCAGCGGGUAGUGCUGAGCCCCACUGAAAACGGCUCAAGUUUUAAAAAUAAACGCUAACAAUAAAUUAGCUUACGCAGCCUAAGUGCUGCCGUCUGAUCUUUGAGGACCACGGCUUAGAAUCAGGCGCCUACCAGUGGUGAACGU
rnacentral:tmRNA from 1 species